GGAGGGUGCAAGCGUUAAUCGGAAUUACUGGGCGUAAAGCGCGCGUAGGCGGUUUGGUCAGUCGGAUGUGAAAGCCCUGGGCUUAACCUGGGAAUGGCAUUCGAUACUGCCUGACUAGAGUAUGGUAGAGGGAAGUGGAAUUUCCGGUGUAGCGGUGAAAUGCGUAGAUAUCGGAAGGAACACCAGUGGCGAAGGCGACUUCCUGGGCCAAUACUGACGCUGAGGUGCGAAAGCGUGGGGAGCAAACGGGGAUUAGAUACCCUGGUAGUCCACGCCGUAAACGAUGAGAACUAGAUGUCGGGAGGGUUGCCUUUCGGUGUCGCAGCUAACGCGUUAAGUUCUCCGCCUGGGGAGUACGCCGGCAACGGUA
rnacentral:rRNA from 1 species